rnacentral:misc_RNA from 1 species
AUAUAUAUAUAUAUAUAUACUUUAAAUUAACUAAAAACGUCAUUAAUGUAGAUAAAAAAUUAAUUGAUUUAAUAAUAAAUAGAUUAUUUCGCGAAUAACAAUAAUAAUAUUCAGAAUUAAAUAAUAAUUCUGACAAAAAAAAAGCAUAAUUACAUGUGUCAACUGCCGAGUUCUCCCUCGGCCUGGACUUUCAAGUGCCACACUCUCAUUUGUUUUGCAGAAUAUCAAACAGAAAACAUUGGUAUCUCAAAGGCGGACAAACGCUAACACUCCAAAGUUUGGACGGAAAAUGAAUGUUAACAAACCCAAUUCAGAGCAGCACUAGAAUUCAAAUCUGAGGUUUGGGGAUAUCGAAGCGCAUUGCAGAGGCAAACCCAUCUCUGGAAUUUUGGGGGUGUAUCAUUUGAUUGAUAGAUUUUUUUUUGUUUUCUUUCUUUCGUUCUUUCUAUUUUGUGUCGUUUUUUUAUUCGUUGGGUGUUUGAUGUGAAUGUACUUGGGUUCUUGUGGAUUUGAAGUGCUGCGUUUAUAGUUCGAGAUUAUGAUUCAACUGGGGAAUCAGUUUUGUUUGGAAUUUGUUUGAUUGGAGUUUUAGUGAGAGACUGGAUUUGCAUAGAAAUAGAAUGCGGUUUCGAGGUGGGUUUUUUGGUUAAUGUUUUUGCUAGGAGUUUGGAAUGAAUUUCUGUUGGUAUUUGUUUGAUUGGAUUUGUAGAUGGAGACCGGAUUUUGGUGGAAAUGAAAUGUGGUUUGCAGGUGGAGUGUUGUCGCUAAUGUGAAUUAAAAUUGAGUUUGCUUGCUUAUUUUUGUGAAGAGAUUAGCUUGCAUUGUGGGGUUUUGGAUAAUCAGGAGCAACAUUGGGAUUUGAGACUAUAUAUGCGUCAGUUGAGUGAAAUUUGAUAACCGGCUUCGGUCUUGGAAUUAAUUUGCUCGCUAGUUUUCUUUUUAGGCCCUAAUUUUUGGAUAACACAGGUUUUUUAUUUUUCUUUCCUGUUUGGGUAUUCAUUUUGAUAUCACAGCUUUUAGAUUUCAGUGAAGAAGGUUUUGCCUGGUGAGAUUGAUUUGCAUUGCAUUGAUAUACAAUUGUGGUUUCUUUUAUGUGCAUGACAAGGAGCUUGUAGACACAAACAGAAAAGGGGGAACCAAAGUGAAAUUGUUGGUAUUCAAAUCAUUAAAGUAUGAAAGAAGCAGUUUAUGAUUUUUAAGACUGAUGUGGACUUGGUUUUCACAUUAUAGUUUUUGAAACUGGUUUUGUAAGAAAAAGAGAUGAAAAGUAUAGUCGUGGGUUUGGAAGUACAAUGACUGGAGGGUCAUUGGGUCUACGAGGAAGCUAUGGUUCGUCACAGUCUUCAGCAAAAUUUCCAUCCAUUGCACGGAAAUCUUCUUCAAAAAUGCUGGUACCGAGUCUGAGGGAGAAAGAGCGGGUUCUCCCUGUUAUUUGCUGGUACUUGGGUCGAAGAAGGGUUGCAAUGAUUCUCUUGGUUGCACUUGCUCUCCUAGUUUUCAUUUGGGGUUCCCUUACCGUUAGCAAAGAUGCAACAGAAACCACAGGUUCAAAUGUUAAAGGAUCAAGUGACCAUUUACCUGAUGUUCACACUGUGCGAAAAUUUAAAACAAGGAGUGCUUCUCCUCUACAUCGACCUAGUGCUGCAGGUAGUAGGUCAAGUGAUCUGCCAGUUGAUAUUGACACUAAGAAAAGAAAUGGUCGAAGUAAAGCUCCUCUCCAUCAACAUAGUGAGGCAGCUAGUGGUUCAUCACAACAUCCAUGCCACAAAUUUGCACUCCCUCCGCCCCCUCCACCUGGUGGAAGACAGCGUGGGCCACGUCCCUGUUCAGUUUGUUACCUUCCCGUGGAGCAAGCCAGAGCUAGAAUGCCAAUUUCUCCAUCAGUAUCGCCAGUGCUUCGCAAUCUGACAUAUGUUGUUGAUGAAAACCCACUCAAAACUGAACCUCAUGGAGGUUCUGAUUUUGGUGGAUAUCCUUCUUUAAAGCAGAGGAAUGAUUCUUUUGAUAUACGAGAGUCGAUGACAGUGCAUUGUGGAUUUGUCAAAGGAAGUAAACCGGGUCACCAGACUGGAUUUGAUAUUGAUGAAGCUGACCUUAUGGAGUUGGAGCAGUUUCAUGAAGUCAUUGUCGCAUCAGCUAUAUUUGGUAUUGUUGUGCAUAAGCCAGUCUACUAAAAUAUUUUGUUUUAUGCAUCCUUUCCUCAUCGUUACUCUCUUGCCAGGGAAAUAUGACAUAAUCCAACAGCCCAAGAACAUUAGUGAAGCAUCAAGGAAAAAUGUUCCUUUCUACAUGUUUGUUGAUGAAGAGACAGAAGCAUAUAUGAAGAACUCUAGUGUCAUGGAUAGCAAUAUGAAGGUCGGAUUAUGGAGGAUUAUUGUUGUCCAUAACAUUCCUUAUAGUGAUUCAAGACGUAAUGGAAAGGUUCCAAAGCUUCUGUUGCAUAGGAUCUUGCCCAAUGUUCGAUAUUCAAUAUGGAUUGAUGGAAAACUCCAACUUGUUGUGGAUCCCUAUCAAGUUAUUGAGAGGCUCUUCAAGGCGAGGAUCCUUGUCCCAGGAACUCAACACUCUCCCUUGCAACAAACUGAUCUGGGACAAAGUUCCACAUCUUCUUGCUCUGUUUAUGACACUAUAUUUUAUUGGUAGUAUCUUUUCAUUUAAAAAUUCCAUUUUAUAUGUAUGGCCUACAGUUGUUCUUAUAGUAUACAGUGACUUGAAUUAAAAUUUCACCAUUCUUAUCAUUAAAAUUAUGAAUUUUAAAAGCCUAAUGUUGGUUCAUAAUCAACAAUUUUUGUCAAAUAUCAAGAAUACUAAAGAAAUAAAUAUAAACAAGCCUAAAACUAACAAGUUCACAAACAUUAUUGAGCCAAGCUUACUUAUGUCAUGUUUGUUUAUUGAUUAAAUGAGUUUUAAAAUCUUGUUCAAACUCGUUGAUUUAACUUUAUAAAGAAUCACAAACAAGUUCUUAUCAAGCUUGUGCACAAACUGUUCACCAGGCACACUAGUUUGCUUACGCUCCUAAUUUCUUCCAAAAAUGUAUAUCUAAUAAUUACAAAUGUGGACUAUUUUUAUUGGCUAAGUUGAUUAGGUUACCAUCGCUUUACAUUUAUUCUUAUCUUUUUUCCCCUUUCUACUUGAUAGGGAGUAGUCCACCCUCAGUUCAUAAGACAAACCUAAUCAUGAUGCUAUUAGAACUUGGAAUCUCCAAUACAGAGUCCUAAAUUCUAAUCAAUAGGGCAUUGGCAUUCCCUUGGGGAUUAAAGCAUUUAUAAAGCAAAUAAUGCUUUUGUUGCUGCAUGGGACAGGGGAAUCUGUCAUCAUUGUGCUGUUUCAUAUCAUUGAACGUGUUGGCAUUUGACUUCUGGAUACAUUAAUUCAUUUUAAAGUAGUUUUUGGUAUAAACAUCUCUAUCAUAGAUUGUCAUUGAGUUACAUAUCUGGACCCAAAAGUAGGAACUUAUAUGGAUUUGAUUUGAGAUCUAGUUUGAUUACCCAAUACACUAGCCUCAUAAAACUAUUUUUUUGGACUUCAGGUUCUUGUGGAGCCAAAAUGCUAAUUUUGCAAUCUCAAGACAUUACAGGCGCUUUGAUGUGUUUGAAGAGGCUGAAGCUAACAAAGCUGCUGGAAAGUAUGACAAUACCUCCAUUGAUUACCAGAUUGAAUUUUAUAUAAGGGAGGGCUUAACACCAUAUACUAAUGCUAAGUUUCCAAUAACUAGUGAUGUUCCAGAAGGUUGUGUCAUUAUAAGAGAACAUGUUCCCAUUACAAAUCUGUUUACCUGCCUAUGGUUCAAUGAAGUUGAUCGGUUUACUUCCAGGGAUCAGUUAAGCUUUUCCACAGUAAGGGACAAAAUUAUGGAAAAAGUUAAAUGGAGAAGCAAUAUGUUUUUGGACUGUGAAAGGCGUAAUUUUGUGAUUCAGGCUUAUCACAGAGACUUGUUAGAGCACAGGCCUCACCCUGUUGCCUCUGUUAUUCGUCUUCGACCGCCCUUGAACCGUUAUAGUUCAACUGCAAGGACUCCAGUGAAGAAUUCUUCUAGGCAUGGGAAGUAUAGGAGAUCUAUUCCAAGGCAUCACCGCGAGUCUGUUGCUGGUACUAGGGACAAGCAAGUCGUUUCACAGGCAAGAACAAUUUAGCCUUAUUUCCUUGUUUCUAAAUUUGCAACUCGAGGAAGUAGGAUUUGGCUACAAGUGUUAAGAAUGGUCAAAGGGUCAAGAGUGGCUCAAAAUUUUGUUUCCAAAUUGUUCAUAUCUGUUGAUUCGUUUAUUGUUGUAAAUACAUCCAACCAAAUAAUUCUCAUACAAGCUGCAAUGAUUCCAUUAGCAUCUUGAUUUCCAUUUCUUGAUGCACAUCUUUUGCCUUGGAUCUUAUUGUUGUGAAUUUCUUCACUAUUAAUGCAAUUACUGUUGGUGUCAAAUAGGUUGAAAUUGAAUAUGAUAAUCUUUCUUAAAUCAAUUGUCAUAAAAGGACUGAUGCAAAAAGGAGAAAUGUUUGUGGCUGGAAUUUUUAUUGCA